rnacentral:lncRNA from 1 species
CUUGUGUGGAGACACUAAUACAAAGAUGUGGGUGCUCAUUAGAAGAAUGAGUUCACUGAAUUGACCUACAAAGAGAAAUCUUAUGAAGUCUUACUUACAUGUCAAAAGAUGAUUCUCUUAGUGGGAGUUGUGCAACUGAUCCUAUGACCUGAGAUCACCAUGGUAUCUUGUGCACAUGAACCCAUGUUUUGGUUUACACUCAUUCAUGACAAUAAGUUGUGUACGAAGUCUUCUGGAUAUGGUGAAUUGUGUACGAAGAUUAUGAGUAGGUCAACAAGAAAUUAAUCACUUCUAGUAAGAGAAGAUAGCAUCCUAUUUAUUCUAAUCAUAUGAUAAUUCAGGAAGCCUUUGAUCAAAGCAGAAUGAAAAUUAGAAAGAGUUUCUAAUGUUUCAUUAUUUGAAUUAUCAUUAAAAGAUUGAGAAAGAUAUGAAUAUGAAAUUGAGUUUGACAUAUAUUCAUACUCAUAUACAUAUUCGGGAUGCAGUUUGAUUAAAGGAUUGAAUUGCACGGUAACUUGCCACUGAAGGGUAUUUUUGGUAUUUCCACCAAAUUUUAAAUUUUUCGGGUAGACAUGACACGUUGCUAGACGUCAAUCUUGUCUUAUAGGUUUGAUCGAAUUAAAGAGUUUAAUUCAAUCACCAAUUAGAAAGGAUUCUAAUUGUUAAGUUCGGGUUCGCGCAGUUUGGACUUAAAUCGAUUAGAAGAGUUCUAAUCAAGUUGGGUCAACUCGCACUCACACCUAUUGCUGGCUAAGUAUGGAACCCAAUGGAUCACACACAAGAAAACUUAUCAAGGGUCUAAUUGGAUUAGAUCAUGUUUGCAAGAUAAACAUCCUAGCAGGUGUUGCAAACCCUUAGCUCCUGAUUCGAAUUGGAUUCGAAUCUGAUUC